CUUUGCCAUAUAGUUUAUCAUUGAAUGACUACCGCAAACAGCCUUCUUAUGCUGAAAAGAAGUGCUAUGCUAAUUCUGGACAUUGCUAUUAUCCAGACAGAAGAUGACUGGAAAAAGAAAUAAAGGCUGAUAACUGUCAACACCCAGCUGUUUCUCAAGAUGGAACAUGGUACUGACAAAACCAGAUUGACUAUCAAAGCACCUCACAGUACAAGACAGAUUGUUACCUACAACUCAGAAAAAGUGGUUAAUAGGAAGGAGCAGAAGAAGAGGAAAAUAGAUUUCCUACUGGAGUGAAAAAACCAUCCUGGAACAAUAUUCUGCAACAUUGAACUUUACAAUGACAUUUGGUGGCAUAUGAAUUUGAAUUCGGAAGAAACACAUCAAUUAACGAAAGAAACCUUGAUGCAAUUAAUAAAUAAUAACAAUACCGGCCUACUAAGAGCAGAUGCCCUGCCAAGAGAAUGGAAUAUAAAAGGCCAGCAAAACCUGUCAGAAACCUGACAUCACGGGACACUUGUACUAAAGCACGAUUUGCAGCUUUUCUAAAACUCUACAUAUUAUGUACAUACCUGCAAAGCAAGGAACUCCUGUAAACACACACAG